ACAUGCAAGUCGAACGAAGCGCUGUGAAAUGAGACUUCGGUUGAAUGAAACAGUGACUGAGUGGCGGACGGGUGAGUAACGCGUGAGGAACCUGCCUUUCAGAGGGGACAACAGUUGGAAACGACUGCUAAUACCGCAUAAUGCCAGACUGAGACAUCUCUAACUGGCCAAAGAUUUAUCGGCAAAGGAUGGGCCUGCGUCUGAUUAGCUAGUUGGUGGGUAACGGCCUACCAAGGCGACGAUCAGUAGCCGACCUGAGAGGGUGAUCGGCCACAUUGGAACUGAGACACGGUCCAGACUCCUACGGGAGGCAGCAGUGAGGAAUAUUGGUCAAUGGUCAGACGACUGAACCAGCCAUGCCGCGUGAAGGUGACGGCCCUAUGGGUCUUAAACUUCUUUUGUAAGGGAGCAAUAAGGUGUACGUGUACAUCGAUGAGAGUACCUUACGAAUAAGCAUCGGCUAACUCCGUG
rnacentral:rRNA from 1 species